AGAACGAACGCUGGCGGCAGGCUUAACACAUGCAAGUCGAGCGCCCCGCAAGGGGAGCGGCAGACGGGUGAGUAACGCGUGGGAAUCUACCCAUCACUACGGAACAACUCCGGGAAACUGGAGCUAAUACCCGUAUACGUCCUUCGGGAGAAAGAUUUAUCGGUGAUGGAUGAGCCCGCGUUGGAUUAGCUAGUUGGUGGGUAAUGGCCUACCAAGGCGACGAUCCAUAGCUGGUCUGAGAGGAUGAUCAGCCACAUUGGGACUGAGACACGGCCCAAACUCCUACGGAGGCAGCAGUGGGGAAUAGUUGGACAAUGGGCUAAAGCCUGAUCGAGCAUGCCGCGUGAGUGAUGGAAGCCCGUAGGGUGUAAAGCUCUUUCAACGGUCGAAGAUAAGUGACCGGUAACGUAAGAAGAACGGCCCGACUAACGUUCGUAGUACCAGCCAGCCGAC
rnacentral:rRNA from 1 species